UACGUAGGCAGCAAGCGUUGUUCGGAGUUACUGGGCGUAAAGGGUGUGUAGGCGGCUUCGUAAGUUCGGUGUGAAAUCUCCGCUUAACUGGGAGGGUGCGCCGAAAACUGCGAAGCUGGAGCGCAGGAGAGGAAAGCAGAAUUCCUGGUGUAGCGGUGAAAUGCGUAGAUAUCAGGAGGAAUACCGGUGGUGAAGGCGGCUUUCUGGACUGCUGCUGACGCUGAUACACGAAAGCGUGGGGAGCAAACAGG
rnacentral:rRNA from 1 species